UGUAAUAUUAUAUCACCCUGCAGCCCACGACCAGUUAUUUACUGAAGCUAAGCAGGGCUGAGCCUGGUCAGUACCUGGAUGGGAGACGACAUUCUUAUCUAGGUUGCUGUUGGAA
rnacentral:rRNA from 1 species